rnacentral:rRNA from 1 species
GAGUUUGAUCUUGGCUCAGAGCGAACGCUGGCGGCAUGCUUAACACAUGCAAGUCGCACGGUCAGCAAUGGCAGUGGCGGACGGGGUGAGUAACACGUAGGAAUCUAUCUCUGGGUGGGGGAUAACAGUGGGAAACUACUGCUAAUACCGCAUGAUACCUGAGGGUCAAAGGCGUAAGUCGCCUGGAGAGGAGCCUGCGUCUGAUUAGCUUGUUGGUGGGGUAAAGGCCUACCAAGGCUACGAUCAGUAGCUGGUCUGAGAGGAUGAUCAGCCACAUUGGGACUGAGACACGGCCCAAACUCCUACGGGAGGCAGCAGUGGGGAAUAUUGGACAAUGGGCGAAAGCCUGAUCCAGCAAUGCCGCGUGUGUGAAGAAGGUCUUCGGAUUGUAAAGCACUUUUGGCAGGGACGAUGAUGACGGUACCUGCAGAAUAAGCCCCGGCUAACUUCGUGCCAGCCGCCGCGGUAAG